rnacentral:sRNA from 1 species
AGGUUUCCGUAGGUGAACCUGCGGAAGGAUCAUUGUCGAUAUACAGAAGGAAGAAUGAGAACUUGUGAUGAUGCCUUUUGGGAGGGGAGGCAACAAAAACUGCGUAGCAYUCUUGCUCUCAACGGCACCCCUUGCUGCCACUGCCUCGUGUGUUUCAACGGGGUCGGUGGUGGGAACAUGACCCCCGGCGCGGCAUGCGCCAAGGAACAAUCUUCUUGGGGAGCAUCGCAUGCCUUGAUGCCUGGCUUCGCGGCAUGCGACGCGAUCCAUGCUAACGUGAGAACAUGCAUGACUCUCGGCAACGGAUAUCUUGGCUCUCGCAUCGAUGAAGAACGUAGCAAAAUGCGAUACUUGGUGUGAAUUGCAGAAUCCCGUGAAUCAUCGAGUUUUUGAACGCAAGUAGCGCCCGAGGCCACCUGGUUGAGGGCACGACUGCCUGGGCGUCACGCUUUACGUCGCUUCAUGCACCUAGUCAGCGCGCUUGCUGUGGGUUACUUUAUGCAUGGAUGUGUAGCUUGGCCCCUUGUGCUCUACGCAUUGUGGGCUGAAGUAUAUGGGCUUUGCCGCUAGUUUUAGAAACGGUGAGUGGUGGAUGGACUUCGCGUGCAAUGCCUUUCCUUUCUGUAGACUAUAACAACUAAGCGUAUUAAGCAAAAAAUUAAAAAAAAGAACCAAAGCAGAUGGCGCUUUAUAGCGCCUUCGAACCAUGACCCCAGGUCAGGCGGGAACACCUGCUGAGC